UACGUAGGGUGCGAGCGUUAAUCGGAAUUACUGGGCGUAAAGCGUGCGCAGGCGGUUCGCCAAGUCAGGUGUGAAAUCCCCCGGGCUUAACCUGGGAAUUGCGCUUGAAACUAGCGGGCUUGAGUGUGGCAGAGGGGGGUGGAACUCCACGUGUAGCAGUGAAAUGCGUAGAGAUGUGGAGGAACACCGAUGGCGAAGGCAGCCCCCCUGGGUCAACACUGACGCUCAUGCACGAAAGCGUGGGGAGCAAACAGG
rnacentral:rRNA from 1 species